AGGGCAAGAUAUCUUCUUUUUUUUGUGCCAGUUGAUUUCACACUGCCAAAGAUGGUGGUGGAAUGGGAUGCCGAUCUGAACAUGCGCUUCCAAUUGGAGCGGUCGGGGAAUAUUGAUCAAAGUUGAUCUGACGUUGGAUUAAGCAGCAUCUCCCAACAUCGCUGCAUCUGCAGAGAGAGAGAGAGAGAGAGACGGAGAGGGAGGGAGGGAGGGAGGGAGGGAGGGAGCGAGCGGGCUGCAAAGCACAACUCCAGCGCUGCCCUUGGUCGCCAGCGCGUUGCUCGGGAUGAAAACACAAGUCCUCACGUCAGCCACCAGCAUUAAAGAGACACCGUCGCCGCCGCUGCCGCCGCCUCUCUUAUUUGUAACCCGCCGUGCAGUUCCUGAGAAAAUGUGAUAUGGAAUGUCCCCAAAUAAGCAGCGCAUUAAUGGAAUUCUGGAAGAAAAGCUCGUGACGGAAAUAAAAUUGCAAGAGUGUCAACCAACCGAUCAACCGAUCGAUCAAUCAAU